rnacentral:rRNA from 1 species
GACGAACGCUGGCGGCGUGCUUAACACAUGCAAGUCGAACGGUGAACUCCGCUUGCGGGGGGAUCAGUGGCGAACGGGUGAGUAACACGUGGGCAACCUGCCCUCAGCUCUGGGAUAACUCCAAGAAAUUGGGGCUAAUACCGGAUAUGACCGCUGACCGCAUGGUCUGGUGGUGGAAAGAUUUAUCGGCUGGGGAUGGGCCCGCGGCCUAUCAGCUUGUUGGUGGGGUAGUGGCCUACCAAGGCGACGACGGGUAGCCGGCCUGAGAGGGUGACCGGCCACACUGGGACUGAGACACGGCCCAGACUCCUACGGGAGGCAGCAGUGGGGAAUAUUGCGCAAUGGGCGAAAGCCUGACGCAGCGACGCCGCGUGGGGAUGACGGCCUUCGGGUUGUAAACCUCUUUCAGCAGGGACGAAGCGAAAGUGACGGUACCUGCAGAAGAAGCACCGGCCAACUACGUG